AAGUCGUAACAAGGUUUCCGUAGGUGAACCUGCGGAAGGAUCAUUACUGAGUUAGGGCUUACGAGCCUGAUCUCCAACCCUUUGUUUAAAAAUACUUUGUUGCUUUGGCAGGCCCGCUUUCGAGCCGCCGGAGGGGUUUAGUCACCUCUGGUCCGUGCCUGCCAGUAGCCAAAUUAAAUUCUUCUUAACUAUGUCGUCUGAUUCUUUAAUUAAAAUUAAUUAAAA
rnacentral:misc_RNA from 1 species